UCAGAACGAACGCUGGCGGCGUGCUUAAUACAUGCAAGUCGUGCGAGAAAGCAUCCUUCGGGGUGUGAGUAGAGCGGCGAACGGGUGAGUAACACGUAAGCAACCUGCCCUCAAGUUUGGGAUAACCUUGCUAACGCGGGGCUAAUACCGGAUGUGGUCACGGAGUCGCAUGGCUUUGUGACUAAAGGUGACCUCUACUUGUAAGUUACUGCUUGAGGAUGGGCUUGCGGCCCAUUAGCUUGUUGGUGGGGUAACGGCCUACCAAGGCGGCGAUGGGUAGCCGACCUGAGAGGGUGAUCGGCCACAUUGGGACUGAGACACGGCCCAGACUCCUACGGGAGGCAGCAGUAGGGAAUUUUGCGCAAUGGACGCAAGUCUGACGCAGCAACGCCGCGUGAGGGAUGAAUGCCUUCGGGUUGUAAACCUCUGUUGAGUGGGAAGAAACGUGGAAGGGUUAAUAUCCCUUUUGCCUGACGGUACCACUCGAGGAAGCCCCGGCUAACUACGUGCCAGCAGCCGCGGUAAUACGUAGGGGGCAAGCGUUGUUCGGAAUCACUGGGCGUAAAGGGAGCGUAGGCGGGGCGGUAAGUCAGAAGUCAAAUCCACAGGCUCAACCUGUGGCCGGCUUUUGAUACUGUCGCUCUUGAGUAUGGGAGAGGGUGAUGGAAUUCCAGGUGUAGCGGUGGAAUGCGUAGAUAUCUGGAAGAACACCGGUUGCGAAGGCGGUCACCUGGCCCAAUACUGACGCUGAGGCUCGAAAGCUAGGGGAGCAAACAGGAUUAGAUACCCUGGUAGUCCUAGCCGUAAACGAUGGACACUAGUUGCUGGGAGAGUCAAUCCUUUCAGUGACGAAGCUAACGCAUUAAGUGUCCCGCCUGGGGAGUACGCUCGCAAGGGUGAAACUCAAAGGAAUUGACGGGGGCCCGCACAAGCGGUGGAGCAUGUGCUUUAAUUCGAUGCAACGCGAAGAACCUUACCUGGGUUUGACAUGGGAGUGAAACUCUCCAGAGAUGGGGAGCCUUCCUUCGGGAACACUCUACACAGGUGCUGCAUGGUUGUCGUCAGCUCGUGUCGUGAGAUGUUGGGUUAAGUCCCGCAACGAGCGCAACCCCUGCCCUUAGUUGCCAGCGGGUAAUGCCGGGAACUCUAA
rnacentral:rRNA from 1 species